GACGAACGCUGGCGGCGUGCCUAAUACAUGCAAGUAGAACGCUGAAGGAGGAGCUUGCUCUUCUGGAUGAGUUGCGAACGGGUGAGUAACGCGUAGGUAACCUGCCUGGUAGUGGGGGAUAACUAUUGGAAACGAUAGCUAAUACCGCAUAAUAACAGUUGUUGCAUGACAACUGUUUGAAAGGUGCAAUUGCAUCACUACCAGAUGGACCUGCGUUGUAUUAGCUAGUUGGUGGGGUAACGGCUCACCAAGGCGACGAUACAUAGCCGACCUGAGAGGGUGAUCGGCCAAACUGGGACUGAGACACGGCCCAGACUCCUACGGGAGGCAGCAGUAGGGAAUCUUCGGCAAUGGACGAAAGUCUGACCGAGCAACGCCGCGUGAGUGAAGAAGGGUUUCGGAUCGUAAAGCUCUGUUGUAAGAGAAGAACGAGUGUGAGAGUGGAAAGUUCACACUGUGACGGUAUCUUACCAGAAAGGGACGGCUAACUACGUG
rnacentral:rRNA from 1 species